AGCUCCAAUAGCGUAUAUUAAAGUUGUUGCAGUUAAAAAGCUCGUAGUUGAAUUUCUGCUGUUGCGUUGCUUUGCAAUUGCUCGUGUUUGUCCAGCAUUCUUCACUGAGUCCACUUCUUUGUGUGCUCAUUGGAGGUUUUACUUUGAGAAAAAUAGAGUGUUUCAAGCAGGCUGUGCCUUGAAUACUGCAGCAUGGAAUAAUGAAAUAGACCUGCAUUCUUGUUUCGUUGGUUUUGAAGAAUGAGUGAUGAUUAAUAGGGAUGGUUGGGGGUAUUUGUAUUCCACUGUCAGAGGUGAAAUUCUUAGAUUUGUGGGGGACAGACAACUGCGAAAGCAUCUACCAAGGACAUUCCCA
rnacentral:rRNA from 1 species